ACCUGGCUGGCUCAGUUGGUAGAGCAUGUGACUCUUGAUCUCCGGGGUCGUGAGUCCAAGACCCAUGCUGGGUG
rnacentral:tRNA from 1 species